rnacentral:rRNA from 1 species
GAAACGACUGCUAAGACUGGAUAGGAAAAAGAAAGGCAUCUUUCUUUUUUUAAAAGACCUAGUAAUAGGUAUGCGUUAGGAGGGGCUUGCGCCAUAUUAGUUAGUUGGUAAGGUAACGGCUUACCAAGACGAUGAUGUGUAGCUGGACUGAGAGGUUGAACAGCCACAUUGGGACUGAGACACGGCCCAAACUCCUACGGGAGGCAGCAGUAAGGAAUUUUCGGCAAUGGAGGCAACUCUGACCGAGCAACGCCGCGUGAACGACGAAGUACUUCGGUAUGUAAAGUUCUUUUAUCAAAGAAGAAAAGCAAAUGGCGAACCAUUUGUCUGCCGGUAUUUGAUGAAUAAGCCCCGGCUAAUUAUGUGCCAGCAGCCGCGGUAAGACAUAAGGGGCAAGUGUUAUCCGGAAUUAUUGGGCGUAAAGGGUGCGUAGGCGGCAGAGUAAGUCAGUGGUGUAAUGGCAACGCUUAACGUUGUCAGGCUAUUGAAACUACUUUGCUAGAGUUGGAUAGAGGCGAGUGGAAUUCCAUGUGUAGCGGUAAAAUGCGUAAAUAUAUGGAGGAACACCAGAGGCGUAGGCGGCUCGCUGGGUCUUAACUGACGCUGAGGCACGAAAGCGUGGGGAGCAAACAGGAUUAGAUACCCUGGUAGUCCACGCCGUAAACGAUGAGUACUAAGUGUCGGGUCAAAACCGGUACUGAAGUUAACACAUUAAGUACUCCGCCUGAGUAGUACGUACGCAAGUAUGAAACUUAAAGGAAUUGACGGGACUCCGCACAAGCGGUGGAUCAUGUUGUUUAAUUCGAAGAUACCCGAAAAACCUUACCAGGUCUUGACAUGUUCUUGCGAAACGGUAGUAAUAUCGUGGAGGUUAUCAGGAACACAGGUGGUGCAUGGUUGUCGUCAGCUCGGUCGUGAGAUGUUAGGUUAAGUCCUAAAACGAGCGAAACCCUUAUCGUUAGUUGCCAGCACGUUAUGGUGGGGACUUUAACGAGACUGCCAAUGAUAAAUUGGAGGAAGGUGAGGAUCACGUCAAAUCAGCAUGCCCCUUAUGACCUGGGCUACAAACGUGAUACAAUGGCUGCUACAAAGGGUGCUGAAACGCAAGUUCUUGGCCAAUCCCCAAAAGCAGUCUCAGUCCGGAUUGAAGUCUGCAACUCGACUUCAUGAAGUUGGAAUCGCUAGUAAUCGCGAAUCAGCAUGUCGCGGUGAAUACGUUCUCGGGGUUUGUACACACCGCCCGUCA